rfam:Ictidomys tridecemlineatus contig086185, whole genome shotgun sequence.
GGGGUUGUGGCUCAGCGGUAGAGUGCCCGCCUAGCAUGUGAGAGGCACUGGGUUCAAGUCUCAGCACCA